AUGGUGUUGAGGAACGCGGCCUCCAUAUCUGAGGACGCACUUCUCCUGAGCAAACACAGGGCAUACUCCAUCAUUGAUGCGUCACAGGGCAGCGUGAUUCUGUCACCGUCAACGCCUGUGAAGCCGAACUCCUCUGGGGACAUCCUCAAGAGCUCGUCGAAGACGGUCGUGCCGAGGAACACAAGCGGUACCUCGAACCUCGCACCGUCGGUAGUGUACACGACGAAGUGGCCCUUGCCAGCCACAGGUGAGCACGACGUGCCACAUGGCCCUCCGGUUUCCCCCCCUGAUGUUGAUGAGGUGAGCCUCUUCCUCCCCAUAGCCACCACCCUCUGCCACUUCUUGGCCAGCUGA
rnacentral:rRNA from 1 species